UUAUAAAUUUGGCACUGUAGCGGAAGUCACUGUAGCAGAGCUACAGUAACUUAGGUGUCGGCAUAAUGACCACAGUUAAAAUCUUCGGAGCACUCGAAUUCAAUUUGAUUUUCUCCCAACGGUAAAAUAAAAGUUGUAUCUAAAUCUUAUCAUCUUCCUCUACUUCAUGUUGAUUGAAACUUCAGCAAAUCAGAGGAAAUGCUACACCAGUCCCAAAAGAAGAGCUUGAUGUCAAAGCAUAACUUGAUGAUGAUGAUAAGAGCACAAACCCAGCUGUAGCUGAUGCCAUGUUGCAUGUAGCUAUGGCCACUUCUCCUCCCCCUCUCUCUCUCUCUCUAACUUUGUUCUUUCUCUUUCUGUAUCUAUCUAUCUAUCUAUCUAUCUAUGAAGAUGUUGUGAAUAUCGUUUUAGAUGAUUCCCAAAAAAAAAAAAAAAAAAAAAAACUAAAAGGAUAAUAUUUACGGGACAGAUAUGUUUUUAUGGUUUGUGGAAGAAUUGGGAUGCUAUUAUUAUGGUUUGCAAGUUGUUAUGAACAUUCCUAAUAUGGUUAUUAAAUUUAUUUAUGGUUAGUAUUUUAACAA